rnacentral:tRNA from 1 species
GGGGGCGUAGUUCAGUUGGGAGAACGCAUCCUUGGCAGGGAUGAGGUCGCCGGUUCGACUCCGGUCGCCUCCACCA